rnacentral:rRNA from 1 species
UACGAAGGGGGCUAGCGUUGCUCGGAAUCACUGGGCGUAACGGGCGCGUAGGCGGCGUUUUAAGUCGGGGGUGAAAGCCUGUGGCUCAACCACAGAAUGGCCUUCGAUACUGGGACGCUUGAGUAUGGUAGAGGUUGGUGGAACUGCGAGUGUAGAGGUGAAAUUCGUAGAUAUUCGCAAGAACACCGGUGGCGAAGGCGGCCAACUGGACCAUUACUGACGCUGAGGCGCGAAAGCGUGGGGAGCAAACAGG